rnacentral:lncRNA from 1 species
GUGAUACAGUCAUAGACUCCAUCCCUUGCCAGGGUUAUAGAUUAAGAGCUGGCAGGGUCCUUAGAGUUUUUCUAAUGCAAUUCUCUCAUUUUACAAACUGAGCCCCACAAAGGCAAGAUAACUUGUGCCUUGUCAAAAAAAAGUAUUCAGUCAGUCAUCAAACAUUAUGAAACCUCCCCUAAGAGGCAGGCACAAAUUAUCUCUGAUUUCAAGGAUCUCACAGUCUAAUGAGUAAGAAAGAAUAUGAGCAAUUAUGCACAAACAAACCAUAUACAUAUAAGAUCAAUUGGGGACAGCCUCAGAAGGAAGACACUAAGAUUAAGGGAGACUAGGAAAAGUUGUUGCAGAAAGGGUGAUGUUACCUAGACUGAAAGGAAGCCAAGGGAGUCAGGAGGCAGAGAUGAUGAAGGAGAGAAUUCCAGGCAUCGGAAAAAUACUCAAAUGGAGUGUCUUGUGUGGGAAAUAGCAAAAGCACUAGUGUCGAUAGAUCACCAAACAAAUGGAGGGGAGGUUUUCUAACUCCACAUUCAAUAGUUUCCAUCAUGCUGCACUAUUAUCUUUCUAGGUCUCAUUUGAAAAAUGGGGAAGAUGAACUAAAUUGUGCCUGUUGUUCAUCCUUUGUUUUCAAAGAUCGGUGAUAACUAGAAUGGAUGUCCCACUGUGUUGGGAAGGGAUGGUUUGGUUGAUUCAGACCUGGAGAUGGUGGCAAGUGGGAAAAUUUGGGGUUGUGCUGACUUCUCAAUUGCCCACCUGGGAAACAAAUGAAGAAUCAGGAGUUCGAAAUGGAAAAGAAAGGUCCUGAAUGUCUGACACUUUUCAGAUACCUCUUCAUCAGCAAAUAUUGAGAAAGGAAGGCAGCCUUUUAAAGUGGAAAGAGCACUUGAAUGGGUGCCAAAGGAUGUUAGACUCUGCUGCUAACGGAUGCCUAACAUCUUUGGACCUGUUUCCUUAGCUGUAACAGGAGAAGACCUAGAUUACCUCUUAAGUCUCUAAAGUCUACUUCUAAGGGCAGCAGACUAAAAAAAAAUGUCUCUCAAAGCUGAGCUUUCCCCCCUGACUUAUUUUGACAACCCACGCCCAGCCUCAGCUCUGUUUCACACCUUAGGCACAUUAAUUGUUCCAUGUGAGUUGGUUUCUUUGUUCUGAUUAGAAUGUAAGUUUUUUGAAGGCAAAAACCUUGUCCUCUACAUUUGUAGUUCCUUCAGUGGUGAUUAAGAAUUUUUGUUGAAGAAUUUUGGCUCGGAAGCUGGCAGAAUCCCCCCACUGUCUUCCAUUAUCAUAGCAUAACAUAAUAUAAUAUAGUUGAAUUAAGGUUAUUUGUUGAAAUGAAAGUCUGGAAGUGAAAACAAGCAAGCAGAGCAUUGCUGAAACUACUACAGUAAAUUUAAUAUAUACCUUAAAAAACAAGCUAUAAAUAAUAAAUUCAGUGUCAUAUACA